GGAGAAAAGCAGGGGAUCGCAAGACCUUGCGCUAAAGGAGCGGCCGAUGUCUGAUUAGUUAGUUGGUGGGGUAAAGGCCUACCAAGGCAACGAUCAGUAGCUGGUCUGAGAGGACGAUCAGCCACACUGGGACUGAGACACGGCCCAGACUCCUACGGGAGGCAGCAGUGGGGAAUUUUGGACAAUGGGCGAAAGCCUGAUCCAGCCAUGCCGCGUGAAUGAAGAAGGCCUUCGGGUUGUAAAGUUCUUUUAGUUGGAAAGAAAAAAUUAUGAUGAAUAAUCAUAAUUCAUGACGGUACCGACAGAAAAAGCACCGGCUAACUACGUGCCAGCAGCCGCGGUAAUACGUAGGGUGCAAGCGUAAUCGGUAAUACUGGGCGUAAAGGGGGA
rnacentral:rRNA from 1 species